GACGAACGCUGGCGGCGUGCUUAACACAUGCAAGUCGAACGGAAAGGCCCUGCUUGCAGGGUACUCGAGUGGCGAACGGGUGAGUAACACGUGGGUGAUCUGCCCUGCACUUCGGGAUAAGCCUGGGAAACUGGGUCUAAUACCGGAUAGGAGCCAUUUUUAGUGUGAUGGUUGGAAAGUUUUUUCGGUGUAGGAUGAGCUCGCGGCUUAUCAGCUUGUUGGUGGGGUAAUGGCCUACCAAGGCGGCGACGGGUAGCCGGCCUGAGAGGGUGGACGGCCACAUUGGGACUGAGAUACGGCCCAGACUCCUACGGGAGGCAGCAGUGGGGAAUAUUGCACAAUGGGCGCAAGCCUGAUGCAGCGACGCCGCGUGGGGGAUGACGGCCUUCGGGUUGUAAACUCCUUUCGCUAGGGACGAAGCUUUUUGUGACGGUACCUAGAUAAGAAGCACCGGCUAACUACGUG
rnacentral:rRNA from 1 species